CUAAUACAUGCAAGUCGAACGCACUCUCGUUUAGAUUGAAGGAGCUUGCUCCUGAUUGAUAAACAUUUGAGUGAGUGGCGGACGGGUGAGUAACACGUGGGUAACCUGCCCUAAAGUGGGGGAUAACAUUUGGAAACAGGUGCUAAUACCGCAUAAAACCUAACACCGCAUGGUGUAGGGUUGAAAGAUGGUUUCGGCUAUCACUUUAGGAUGGACCCGCGGUGCAUUAGUUAGUUGGUGAGGUAAAGGCUCACCAAGACCGUGAUGCAUAGCCGACCUGAGAGGGUAAUCGGCCACACUGGGACUGAGACACGGCCCAGACUCCUACGGGAGGCAGCAGUAGGGAAUCUUCCACAAUGGACGAAAGUCUGAUGGAGCAACGCCGCGUGAGUGAAGAAGGUUUUCGGAUCGUAAAACUCUGUUGUUGGAGAAGAAUGUAUCUGAUAGUAACUGAUCAGGUAGUGACGGUAUCCAACCAGAAAGCCACGGCUAACUACGUGCCAGCAGCCGCGGUAAUACGUAGGUGGCAAGCGUUGUCCGGAUUUAUUGGGCGUAAAGCGAGCGCAGGCGGUUUCUUAAGUCUGAUGUGAAAGCCUUCGGCUCAACCGAAGAAGUGCAUCGGAAACUGGGAAACUUGAGUGCAGAAGAGGACAGUGGAACUCCAUGUGUAGCGGUGAAAUGCGUAGAUAUAUGGAAGAACACCAGUGGCGAAGGCGGCUGUCUGGUCUGUAACUGACGCUGAGGCUCGAAAGCAUGGGUAGCAAACAGGAUUAGAUACCCUGGUAGUCCAUGCCGUAAACGAUGAGUGCUAGGUGUUGGAGGGUUUCCGCCCUUCAGUGCCGCAGCUAACGCAUUAAGCACUCCCGCCUGGGGAGUACGACCGCAAGGUUGAAACUCAAAGGAAUUGACGGGGGCCCGCACAAGCGGUGGAGCAUGUGGUUUAAUUCCGAAGCAACGCGAGACCCUUACCAGGUCUUGACAUCCUUUGACCCUCUAGAGAUAGAGCUUUCCCUUCCGGGACAAAG
rnacentral:rRNA from 1 species